UACGAAGGGGGCGAGCGUUGUUCGGAAUUACUGGGCGUAAAGGGCGCGUAGGCGGCCCCUUUUGUCGCGUGUGAAAGCCCCGGGCUCAACCUGGGAGGUGCGCGCGAAACGGGGGGGCUUGAGUAUGGGAGAGGGAUGUAGAAUUCCAGGUGUAGCGGUGAAAUGCGUAGAUAUCUGGAGGAAUACCGGUGGCGAAGGCGGCAUCCUGGACCAUUACUGACGCUGAGGCGCGAAAGCUAGGGGAGCAAACGGG
rnacentral:rRNA from 1 species